UUUUGCAAGUUAUUGAUGGAGGAGAAGCUCAAAAGAGGAACAAUGCAUAUAUAUAUAAAUAAAACGCAUGUCGAGUGCACGUGCCGAAUCGUGUCGUGUAGUCAACCGAGCCGGAGCUUCUUUUUCGGUUCGGAUCUCUACCAGAAGACCCAGAACCCAAUAGAGGCAAGAAAAGAAACUCUCGAAGCUCUUCCUCGCCAAGUACGCCUAGCUCCAACUCUGUUUUCUCGUGUUCUUGAAAUUCGUCUCUAAUGCUAAAGCUUCGGUGGUAUGGUUAUCAAGUACCCUCAGUGCAGUCUCUUGCGACAAUCAACUUAUGCUGAUGCAGAGAUUAUCUUUGAGAAUCAGUCAUAGAGAUUAGGAAGGUGGGUAGGAGCCUACAAGAGUUGACAAAACUCAUUUACAAUUACGGCCUCCAUCAGUCUUCAUCAACAUGGACUUCUAUUUAUAAAUUUAAAUUUUUUUCAUUAUAUGUUUUUUUGCAAACCGUGAUUACCAAAAUCAAGCGAAAUAAAUUCAAAGAGACUUUUCC